rnacentral:rRNA from 1 species
AUGAACGCUGGCGGCGUGCCUAAUACAUGCAAGUCGAGCGAACAGACGAGGAGCUUGCUCCUCUGACGUUAGCGGCGGACGGGUGAGUAACACGUGGAUAAUCUACCUAUAAGACUGGGAUAACUUCGGGAAACCGGAGCUAAUACCGGAUAAUAUAUUGAACCGCAUGGUUCAAUAGUGAAAGACGGUUUUGCUGUCACUUAUAGAUGGAUCCGCGCCGCAUUAGCUAGUUGGUAAGGUAACGGCUUACCAAGGCAACGAUGCGUAGCCGACCUGAGAGGGUGAUCGGCCACACUGGAACUGAGACACGGUCCAGACUCCUACGGGAGGCAGCAGUAGGGAAUCUUCCGCAAUGGGCGAAAGCCUGACGGAGCAACGCCGCGUGAGUGAUGAAGGUCUUCGGAUCGUAAAACUCUGUUAUUAGGGAAGAACAAAUGUGUAAGUAACUAUGCACGUCUUGACGGUACCUAAUCAGAAAGCCACGGCUAACUACGUG